rnacentral:rRNA from 1 species
AUUGAACGCUGGCGGCAGGCCUAACACAUGCAAGUCGAGCGGAUGAAGGGAGCUUGCUCCUGGAUUCAGCGGCGGACGGGUGAGUAAUGCCUAGGAAUCUGCCUGGUAGUGGGGGGUAACGUCCGGAAACGGGCGCUAAUACCGCAUACGUCCUGAGGGAGAAAGUGGGGGAUCUUCGGACCUCACGCUAUCAGAUGAGCCUAGGUCGGAUUAGCUAGUUGGUGGGGUAAAGGCCUACCAAGGCGACGAUCCGUAACUGGUCUGAGAGGAUGAUCAGUCACACUGGAACUGAGACACGGUCCAGACUCCUAAGGGAGGCAGCAGUGGGGAAUUUUGGACAAUGGGGGAAAACCUGGUCCAGCCAUGGCGCGUGUGUGAAAGAGGUCUUCGGAUUGUAAAGCCCUUUUAAGUGGGGGGAAGGGCAGUAAGUUAAUACCUUGCUGUUUUGACGUUACCAACAGAAUAAGCACCGGCUAACUUCGUG